UUUUCAGUGUCAGUGGCACCUCCCAGUCCUGUGAUCACCCUAGGGGGUGGCUCAAAGCCUGCUCCUGACCACAGCACCCGUGGAGGUUUCCCAGUGGAAUUAAAGAGUAAGGAGACCCGGGAGCACCAGCUCUGGAAAACAGGACUGGAAAGAGUUUUGAGAGGUCAUGAGAGAGAAAAA